rnacentral:ncRNA from 2 species
GGAAGCCGGUGAGAACCCGGCACGGUCGCGCCACUGUAUGCCGAGCAGGACCCCACCCAGGUGCGGGAACUGCCGGUGAGUCAGAC